rnacentral:rRNA from 1 species
CCUACGGGGGGCUGCAGUGGGGAAUUUUGGACAAUGGGCGCAAGCCUGAUCCAGCAAUGCCGCGUGCAGGAAGAAGGCCUUCGGGUUGUAAACUGCUUUUGUCAGGGAAGAAAUCCUCUGGGUUAAUACCUCGGGGGGAUGACGGUACCUGAAGAAUAAGCACCGGCUAACUACGUGCCAGCAGCCGCGGUAAUACGUAGGGUACGAGCGUUAAUCGGAAUUACUGGGCGUGAAGCGUGCGCAGGCAGCUGAAAUCCCCGGGCUCAACCUGGGAACUGCAUUUGUGACUGCAAGGCUAGAGUACGGCAGAGGGGGAUGGAAUUCCGCGUGUAGCAGUGAAAUGCGUAGAUAUGCGGAGGAACACCGAUGGCGAAGGCAAUCCCCUGGGCCUGUACUGACGCUCAUGCACGAAAGCGUGGGGAGCAAACAGGAUUAGAUACCCCUGUAGUC